rnacentral:rRNA from 1 species
UACGUAGGUGGCAAGCGUUGUCCGGAUUUACUGGGCGUAAAGAGCGCGCAGGCGGUCGUUCAAGUCGCGUGUGAAAGCCCCCGGCUCAACUGGGGAGGGUCACGCGAUACUGAUCGACUCGAAGGCAGGAGAGGGUAGUGGAAUUCCCGGUGUAGCGGUGAAAUGCGCAGAUAUCGGGAGGAACACCGGUGGCGAAGGCGGUUCUCUGGGCCUGUACCGACGCUGAGGAGCGAAAGCGUGGGGAGCGAACAGG